UGCUGAAGAUGAUGAUGCUGGGUGCUUUGGAUCUAGAAAGAGAUUUAAGCCAGGCCUUUCUAUACACACAGCUGAGGAAUACAAUGGCAAUCCAGAUGAGUCUGAGAAACAUGUCGAAAACAAAGGGAGCAUUCUGGCAAAAAAUUCCCGGUUGAUGAAGAACUUCAAGAAAUUGGAGGUGGCUUAUUUCAUGACAAGACGUAGGGUUAUCAAACCGACAGGCAAAUCACUAUAUAGACAUUCUCAGGCAAGUACGGAUUGUA
rnacentral:misc_RNA from 1 species